GCGUGGCUGGCACGUAAUAAAGGCAUGGAAUGAGAAAUUAGGCAGUUGCCUUGAUUUUCUCGUGCACUCGUUCUGAAUGAGAAAUAACAGGAAAGUCAUUUUCCUCCUUUCUUGUUUUCUGCUCUAGAAGAUUGCAUGCGGAACUCUUUAUAAAAGACGCUUUCGUCAAACGGGAUGAGGUAGCUACGAGCUCCGUCGCAGUUCGGCCGUUCACUAAGACCUGGAACCAUGCAUCUCGGAAUAAAGACCGGUUACUUAAUGCUACUCUUCGCAGUUCUUGUUACUGGAACGAGGACUGAGGAAAGUGUUAACAGGUGCCACGAAGAUGCGACG
rnacentral:lncRNA from 1 species